rnacentral:rRNA from 1 species
AGGAUGAACGCUGGCGGCGUGCUUAACACAUGCAAGUCGAACGAUGAACCCCGCUUGCGGGGGGAUUAGUGGCGAACGGGUGAGUAACACGUGAGUAACCUGCCCUUAACUCUGGGAUAAGCCUUGGAAACGGGGUCUAAUACUGGAUAUUGACUUUAUGCCGCAUGGUGUUUGGUUGAAAGAUUUAUUGGUUUUGGAUGGACUCGCGGCCUAUCAGCUUGUUGGUGAGGUAAUGGCUCACCAAGGCGACGACGGGUAGCCGGCCUGAGAGGGUGACCGGCCACACUGGGACUGAGACACGGCCCAGACUCCUACGGGAGGCAGCAGUGGGGAAUAUUGCACAAUGGGCGAAAGCCUGAUGCAGCGACGCCGCGUGAGGGAUGACGGCCUUCGGGUUGUAAACCUCUUUCAGUAGGGAACAAGGCCAGACGUUGUCUGGUUGAGGGUACUUGCAGAAGAAGCGCCGGCUAACUACGUGCCAGC